UAUUACUUUGACUAAACCCCUGGGUCAAUUGCUUUUCUAUGAAAAAUGGGUUAAAUAUAACCCAUAUUGGGUCAUUUUCCGUACCCAUUACCUGGGUUAUUCGCUAAACCCACAUCAGCACCCAGGCCCUGGGUCAUUUCAACCCUGUAAUCUUGUCAAUAUAUUUGAAUUUUGAAUUUUACCGCCCGGACGCCAUUGCCAAAACGGCUAGUAAACUCAAGAACUACCAACGUCCAGAAGAAAGGACACCGGAUGGCAUGUGAAAGCAUUGUUUAGGUGGACUUCUCUCCUCUGACCGGUUACCAAGACAGCUGGGUGUGUAGGAAACUGGAACUAAGUCACUGAAGAAGUAAACCGAUGAAAACCGAUUUGGAUUGUCUGAGAGAUCUGUAGGGCACAAGUAAGAGGAGAAGAAUGCUGCUCAGCUGGGUCGGCGUCGGCCACACUACUUAUUCAAGAAGCCCUUGGAUAUCAUCGGCAUGUAUGAAGCACAGUCAUUCCGGUAGUCCGUUCCUCGAUGGACGUGAUGACCUGGCACCAAAACCGCUUAAUGUGUACGGAGCUGUGUCUGCAUCGAGGGAAGAACGCGGCACUGAAAUGACACAAAUGAAAGAAGAUUACUUCUGCUCUGCUGGGUCUGUGACACUAUUUAUCCGAGGAGUCCUCAAACAUCAGGAUGUAGGAAGACACAAGUAAAAGGAGAAGAAUGCUGCUCAGCUGGGUCGGCG